CAAUAGCUACUUGCAUCAUUAUAAAGGUGAUGCAAGAUCGACUAUGUCGAAUAAAAUUCUAGGUAGAAUUAUGAUAAUGACAUUGUCUGCCUAUGUGUCUUGACCAAAUUACGUGCCAGCAGUCGCGGUAAUACGUAGAAGACUAGUGUUAUUCAUGUUUAAUCGGUUUAAAGGGUACCUAGACGGUAAAUCAAGCCUAAAAAAAAAUAAUUGAAGGGACUAAUUUGCUAGAGUUACUUAUGAGGGGGUAUUAAAGUACUGCUGGUGUAGAGAUGAAAUUCUGUCAUACCUCUUUUCAAUAGAAAAACAAUGGCACAGGUAUAGGCGAAAGCAUCCCCUUAUGUGAUAACUGACGUUGAGGGACGAAGGCUUUGUGUAGCGAACAGGAUUAGAUACCCCAGUAGUCAAAGCAGAAAAUGAUGAAUGUCAUAGAUUAGAUAUAUAAGUUUAUUCUAUAAAUGAAAGUGUAAGCAUUCCACCUCAAGAGUAAUUUGGCAACAUUGGAACUGAAAUCAUUAGACCGUUUCUGAAACCAGUAGUGAAGUAUGUUGUUUAAUUUGAUGAUCCGCAAAAAACCUUACCACAAUUUGAAUAUUUAUAUCUAUUAUUGUUUUUUCUUCUUAUUUUUUAAUUAAAAACAAUAAUUAAGAAGAAAAAUAAGAAAAAGAGGCAAUAA
rnacentral:rRNA from 1 species